GACGAACGCUGGCGGCGUGCCUAAUACAUGCAAGUUGAGCGAUGAAGCUUGGUGCUUGCACCAAUUUGAAGAGCAGCGAACGGGUGAGUAACGCGUGGGGAAUCUGCCUUUGAGCGGGGGACAACAUUUGGAAACGAAUGCUAAUACCGCAUAAUAACUUUAAACAUAAGUUUUAAGUUUGAAAGAUGCAAUUGCAUCACUCAAAGAUGAUCCCGCGUUGUAUUAGCUAGUUGGUGAGGUAAAGGCUCACCAAGGCGAUGAUACAUAGCCGACCUGAGAGGGUGAUCGGCCACAUUGGGACUGGGACACGGCCCAAACUCCUACGGGAGGCAGCAGUAGGGAAUCUUCGGCAAUGGACGAAAGUCUGACCGAGCAACGCCGCGUGAGUGAAGAAGGUUUUCGGAUCGUAAAACUCUGUUGGUAGAGAAGAACGUUGGUGAGAGUGGAAAGCUCAUCAAGUGACGGUAACUACCCAGAAAGGGACGGCUAACUACGUG
rnacentral:rRNA from 1 species